rnacentral:misc_RNA from 1 species
AAGCGUGCGCAGGCGGUUCGGAAAGAAAGAUGUGAAAUCCCAGAGCUUAACUUUGGAACUGCAUUUUUAACUACCGAGCUAGAGUGUGUCAGAGGGAGGAAUCUGGCGUGUAGCAGUGAAAUGCGUAGAUAUGCGGAGGAACACCGAUGGCGAAGGCAGCCUCCUGGGAUAACACUGACGCUCAUGCACGAAAGCGUGGGGAGCAAACAGAUUAGAUACCCUGGUAGUCCACGCCCUAAACGAUGUCAACUAGCUGUUGGGGGCCUCGGGCCUCGGUAGCGCAGCUAACGUUAUGAAGUUGACCGCCUGGGGAGUACGGUCGCAAGAUUAAAACUCAAAGGAAUUGACGGGGACCCGCACAAGCGGUGGAUGAUGUGGAUUAAUUCGAUGCAACGCGAAAAACCUUACCUACCCUUGACAUGUCUGGAAUCCCGAAGAGAUUUGGAGUGCUCGCAAGAGAACCGGAACACAGGUGCUGCAUGGCUGUCGUCAGCUCGUGUCGAGAUGUUGGGUUAAGUCCCGCAACGAGCGCAACCCUUGUCAUUAGUUGCUACGAAAGGGCACUCUAAUGAGACUGCCGGCACAAACCGGAGGAAGGUGGGGAUGAACAAGUCCUCAUGGCCCUUAUGGGAGGCCACACGUCAUACAAUGGUCGGGACAGAGGGGUCGCCAACCCGCGAGGGGGAGCCAAUCCCAGAAACCCGAUCGUAGUCCGACGCAGCCUGCAACUCGACUGCGUGAAGUCGGAAUCGCUAGUAAUCGCGGAUCAGCAUGUCGGUGAAUACGUUCCCGGGUCUUGUACACACCGCCUGUCACACCAUGGGAGUGGGUUUUACCAGAAGUAGUUAGCCUAACCGUAAGGAGGGCGAUUACCACGGUAGGAUUCAUGACUGGGGUGAAGUCGUAACAAGGUAG